AUUGAACGCUGGCGGCAGGCUUAACACAUGCAAGUCGAGCGGGGGAAGGUAGCUUGCUACCGGACCUAGCGGCGGACGGGUGAGUAAUGCUUAGGAAUCUGCCUAUUAGUGGGGGACAACAUCUCGAAAGGGAUGCUAAUACCGCAUACGUCCUACGGGAGAAAGCAGGGGAUCUUCGGACCUUGCGCUAAUAGAUGAGCCUAAGUCGGAUUAGCGAGUUGGUGGGGUAAAGGCCUACCAAGGCGACGAUCUGUAGCGGGUCUGAGAGGAGGAUCCGCCAAACUGGUGCUGGGGCACGGCCCAGACUCCUACGGGAGGCAGCAGUGGGGAAUAUUGGACAAUGGGGGGAACCCUGAUCCAGCCAUGCCGCGUGUGUGAAGAAGGCCUUAUGGUUGUAAAGCACUUUAAGCGAGGAGGAGGCUACUCUAGUUAAUACCUAGGGAUAGUGGACGUUACUCGCAGAAUAAGCACCGGCUAACUCUGUGCCAGCCGCCGCAGUAA
rnacentral:rRNA from 1 species